rnacentral:rRNA from 1 species
GACGAACGCUGGCGGCGUGCCUAAUACAUGCAAGUCGAGCGCUGAAGCGUGGUACUUGUUCCAACUGGAUGAGCAGCGAACGGGUGAGUAACGCGUGGGGAAUCUGCCUUUGAGCGGGGGACAACAUUUGGAAACGAAUGCUAAUACCGCAUAAAAACUUUAAACACAAGUUCUAUGUUUGAAAGAUGCAUUUGCAUCACUUAUAGAUGAUCCCGCGUUGUAUUAGCUAGUUGGUGAGGUAAAGGCUUACCAAGGCGAUGAUUCAUAGCCGACCUGAGAGGGUGAACGGCCAAAUUGGGACUGGGGCACGGCCCAAGCUCCUACGGGAGGCAGCAGGAGGGGAUCUUCGGGAAAGGGGGGAAGGCUGACCGGAGAACGCCGGGGGGAUGGAGAAGGGUUUCGGAUCGGAAAAACCCUUUGAUAAGGAAGAAAGUUGGUGGGAAUGGAAAGCUCAUCUAGUGACGGUAACUACCCAGAAAGGGACGGCUAACUACGUG